rnacentral:rRNA from 1 species
GGGGAAUUUUCCGCNAUGGGCGAAAGCCUGACGGAGCAAUACCGCGUGAGGGAGGAAGGCUCUUGGGUUGUAAACCUCUUUUCUNCAGGGAAUAAGAACUGAAGGUACCUGAGGAAUCAGCAUCGGCUAACUCCGUGCCAGCAGCCGCGGUAAUACGGAGGAUGCAAGCGUUAUCCGGAAUGAUUGGGCGUAAAGCGUCCGCAGGUGGUUUAUCAAGUCUGCUGUCAAAGAGUUUGGCUCAACCAAAUAAAGGCAGUGGAAACUGACAGACUGGAGUGCGGUAAGGGCAGAGGGAAUUCCUGGUGUAGCGGUGAAAUGCGUAGAGAUACAGGAAGAACACCGGUGGCGAAAGCGCUCUGCUGGGCCGNAANUGACACUGAGGGAGCGAAAGCUAGGGGAGCGAAUCGGGAUUAGAUACCCCAUGUCAGUCAAUCG